AUGGCCGGAUGCUUCAAUAGGGUGCUUAAGGGUGUACGUGCAUUACCCGUGACGACAAUUGUUCAAUACACAUUUGACAAGAUGAAUCCGUACUUCCUAAAGCACUCAAUGUAAACAGGUGCGCAGAUAGCGGGUGAGAACAAGCGGAAAUACAACUUCCCACGAAAGGUUGAUGAAUGGUUGGGAUUUCAAUCACGGAAGGUGGACUCACAAGAAGAUCUACCAUAUAACAAUGACGAUUGGUUGAACGAAGUGAAAGAGCCAGGAGGAACCACAAACGAUGGCCGCCAACAUGGAGGUCGGGCUUUCAAGGUCUCCACAACACAAUGUGGUUUCUCUUGUGGGAGGCCAUUGUUGCUUCAUUCCUGCUCACACUUGUAUACCGCCGGUCACAUUAGGAAUGUGGACGUCGAUCACCUGCUCACCAUCAGGCUCUUAGAGUUCUCAAUCAUGACGGUCAAGAAUACAUGGGCCCCCCGAUUUCACCCAUACUUUGAUCAAUCACAAUGGCCGGAGUAACAUGGAGUUCGACUAUGUCCGGAUCCGGAUUUGAAGGUUGUUAAACGGGGUAGACGUAAGACAAAGCAUCUUAGAGUUGACAUGGACGGAUGGGGCCAUGGUGGCGGCGGUGAAUCGGGCAACAGCCAAUUCCAAGAGCCUCAUGAGCGCUCCCAUUGUGGGGAAUGCAAAGGUGAGGGCCACAACAAAACAAAGUGUACCAAACCAAGAAAGAGGUCAAAGAAGAAUGAUGCAAGCACAAGCCAACAAGGAGGUACACAAGGUCCUAGCCAAGCAAAUAGUACUCAACAAGGGCCAAGUCAAGCAAGCGGUAGCCAAUCAAGUGGUAGGCAACAAGUGUGA
rnacentral:rRNA from 1 species